rnacentral:rRNA from 1 species
GGCAACCCUGAUCCAGCCAUGCCGCGUGUGUGAAGAAGGCCCUCGGGUUGUAAAGCACUUUCAGCGAGGAAGAAUGCUUGUCGGUUAAUACCCGGCAAGGGAGACAUCACUCGCAGAAGAAGCACCGGCUAACUCCGUGCCAGCAGCCGCGGUAAUACGGAGGGUGCGAGCGUUAAUCGGAAUUACUGGGCGUAAAGCGUGCGUAGGCGGCUUGAUAAGCCGGUUGUGAAAGCCCCGGGCUCAACCUGGGAACGGCAUCCGGAACUGUUAGGCUAGAGUGCAGGAGAGGAAGGUAGAAUUCCCGGUGUAGCGGUGAAAUGCGUAGAGAUCGGGAGGAAUACCAGUGGCGAAGGCGGCCUUCUGGACUGACACUGACGCUGAGGUACGAAAGCGUGGGUAGCAAACAGGAUUAGAUACCCUGGUAGUCCACGCCGUAAACGAUGUCGACUAGCCGUUGGGGUCCUCGAGACCUUUGUGGCGCAGUUAACGCACUAAGUCGACCGCCUGGGGAGUACGGCCGCAAGGUUAAAACUCAAAUGAAUUGACGGGGGCCCGCACAAGCGGUGGAGCAUGUGGUUUAAUUCGAUGCAACGCGAAGAACCUUACCUACCCUUGACAUCGUGCGAACUUUCCAGAGAUGGAUUGGUGCCUUCGGGAGCGCACAGACAGGUGCUGCAUGGCUGUCGUCAGCUCGUGUUGUGAAAUGUUGGGUUAAGUCCCGUAACGAGCGCAACCCUUGUCCCUAUUUGCCAGCGAUUCGGUCGGGAACUCUAGGGAGACUGCCGGUGACAAACCGGAGGAAGGUGGGGACGACGUCAAGUCAUCAUGGCCCUUACGGGUAGGGCUACACACGUGCU